CGUAAAUAAAUAAUUUACCUAACUUUAAACUUUUAGCAAAAUAUUUUGUAUGUAAUAGGUAUUAUACCGGCAGUUAAAAAAAGUAAGAUAAAAUAAUGGGGACGGGUGAAGCCACUGGUGUAGGUGAGAAGUUGAGAAGGUAGGAUACAGACGGGAAUUUAAUGUAUAUAUGCAAGCAACGAUAAACCAUUGCUAACGAAAAAACGAUUCUGAUGACUUCUCUAAAGUACCUCCUCAGUGAAAUUUCCUUUUAGAAAAAUGACUAUCAUUAAAAAGUUGGAAUAAAAAUACUGAUAGAAAAGUUGUCCACAAAAAAAAAAUAUAAAUAAUAAACAUCUUUGUAAAACCAUAAGCUU